CAGAUUGUUUAUUCCUGGUUGUCAAUCCAGAAGAUGCUCCCCACUCUUCCUUCAGGGCCGUAUGCUAACUGCAUUAAGUCUCCGUCGAUUGCUUGUCCAAUUUGUCGACUCUUUU
ensembl:ncRNA F38B6.22 ncRNA